rnacentral:rRNA from 1 species
AGUGAACGCUGGCGGUAGGCCUAACACAUGCAAGUCGAACGGCAGCACAGUAAGAGCUUGCUCUUACGGGUGGCGAGUGGCGGACGGGUGAGGAAUACAUCGGAAUCUACUUUUUCGUGGGGGAUAACGUAGGGAAACUUACGCUAAUACCGCAUACGACCUACGGGUGAAAGCAGGGGAUCUUCGGACCUUGCGCGAAUGAAUGAGCCGAUGUCGGAUUAGCUAGUUGGCGGGGUAAAGGCCCACCAAGGCGACGAUCCGUAGCUGGUCUGAGAGGAUGAUCAGCCACACUGGAACUGAGACACGGUCCAGACUCCUACGGGAGGCAGCAGUGGGGAAUAUUGGGCAAUGGGCGCAAGCCUGAUCCAGCCAUACCGCGUGGGUGAAGAAGGCCUUCGGGUUGUAAAGCCCUUUUGUUGGGAAAGAAAAGCAGCAGGUUAAUACCCCGCUGUUCUGACGGUACCCAAAGAAUAAGCACCGGCUAACUUCGUG